rnacentral:lncRNA from 1 species
GUUUCUCCUCCUCGCUCCGUGCACCGCCCUCAUCCUCCCCGAGACCCAAGGGUCCCUUUGCUGGUUUUCAGGCGCUGCCUCCACAGGUGCCCCCCGUGCCCUGCAGCAGCCCCAGCAGCCCCCAGCGCGUCCCAAGCGCUCCCCAGCUCGGCUCCCGGGGAGGCAGAGGGCAGCGAGGAGAUCCGUAGCCUCGAGGGAAGUCAGCGCGAGACGCAGAUUUACAGGUCCUGGUUCCUGGCCCAGGUUCAAACCACAUUCGUUCCCGAAAUCUGUUUCGGCGCUUUCUUUUCCGAGCCGUGCACGGCAGAGGCAUGUGCAAAGCGCCGCCGAGGGCCUCGCAGCGAGGCCGCCCGUGCCACAACAGGACCCGGGCGCACCUGAGCUGCGCCGCAGCCCAUGCGGGUCCAGCUGUGCUCAGCCAAACAAAAAAACACCCCCCCCCUUUUUCCAGCCCUCCCGACUGGACCUCAGGGUGGACUAUCUCAUGGCUCACUGCCAGUUUAAAACAUCAAGGGCCAGAAUUAUCGCUUUUUCCUCCCCCCCUCUGAGGCACACAGGUUUCUGCUCCCGGAUGGAGGCUCCGGCACAAUGCGAGCCCCGGGGGAACAGCUCCGAGUGCCCCCAAGUCAGAGGAGGUGGAAAACAGAAGGGUGGCAGAAUGGAAAGGGUGACAACCCGCGCUGCAGUCACACGGCCAGCACGGCCAGGAGGGCAAUUUCCACGCCAAGAGCUUGGAGCUGGCUGGUGAGCACCGCGCCGCGGGGAGCCUGCCCGUGCCGGGCGCACACACACUGCUCCGGCGGGGCUUCGAGGGCUCGGGGCUGAGAGGCAAAGUGCUGAGGAAGCGAGGUCAGACGGGAAAUUGUUCCAGGAGAUAAAGGAACGAGUUAGAAGCCGAGCAGCAGAAUAGGCAGCGCAGGAAACAAUAGUGCCUCAGAUAGCCCCGCGCGCUUCCCCCCGCGAGGCCGAGCGGGCAGCGCUUGGUGGAAGCGAUGCUCUCGUGCUCUUCCCCCCUGAACACGCCGG